CCUACGGGUGGCAGCAGUGGGGAAUUUUGGACAAUGGGCGCAAGCCUGAUCCAGCCAUUCCGCGUGAGUGAAGAAGGCCUUCGGGUUGUAAAGCUCUUUCGCAAGGGAAGAAAACUUAUCCUCUAACAUAGGAUGAGGUUGACGGUACCUUGAGAAGAAGCACCGGCUAACUACGUGCCAGCAGCCGCGGUAAUACGUAGGGUGCGAGCGUGAAUCGGAAUUACGGGGCGUGAAGUGUGCGUAAGCUGUUAACUCCCCGAGCUCAACUUGGGAACUGCGUUUGAAACUACAAGACUAGAAUAGGUCAGAGGGGGGUAGAAUUCCACGUGUAGCAGUGAAAUGCGUAGAGAUGUGGAGGAAUAUCAAUGGCGAAGGCAGCCCCCUGGGAUCAUAUUGACGCUCAUGCACGAAAGCGUGGGGAGCAAACAGGAUUAGAUACCCGAGUAGUC
rnacentral:rRNA from 1 species